CAUCGGAAAGCUAAACAGCAUUGGCCUUUUAAGCCAGAGAAGGUAAUCUUUACCUCCGAUGA
rnacentral:tRNA from 1 species